UACAUGUGGGGCAAGCGUUGUUCGGAAUUACUGGGCAUAAAGGGUGCGUAGGCGGCUUGUUAAGUCAGGGGUGAAAGUUUUCGGCCCAACCGGAAAAUUGCCUUUGAUACUGGCGAGCUCGAGUGCGUGAGGGGUAACCGGAGCGAGUGGUGUAGCGGUGAAAUGCGUAGAUAUCACUCGGAAGGCCAAAGGCGAAGGCAGGUUACUGGUACGCAACUGACGCUGAGGCACGAAAGCGUGGGGAGCAAACAGG
rnacentral:rRNA from 1 species